UUAAAGACAUGCGGAUGACACACGGAUGUCGUACCUCCUCUGGCCUAGGUCUAUAUUUAUAUAGCUAGAUCUAUAUAUAUAUCUAUAUAAUUAUAGUCUAUCGAAAGCUAAAUAGGAACUAGAUCUACCUAUACUACUUCGAAAGCUAAAUAGCUAAGCCAACUAUCUACCUACUUCGAAAGCUAAAUAGCUAAGGCUUAAUACUAUCUAUGGCCGCCUAAUCUAUAUGCUCUAACUAACUGUAAGCUCAAGAAAAUGGAAAGGCUAAAGCUGAAGGUGAUAUUAUUACUGUUGCUUUGGCUUGGUGUUGUUACAGUACUAUUAGUAUUAAGGCAUUCUCACACCACGGUAGUCAUGAUGGAGCAAUUCCAUGUUAAUAUGGCAGUGGCAACUGAAAUUGCACCGACUCGAUUUGUGUAUCUAACGCAAACAGAACACUGUGUUCCAACUUAUUUAAAGUCUCCCGAAGUGAUUGGGGACUCUGAAGCAUGUCAGUGUGAUGUUAUCGUCCUCAGUUACAAAAAAGAGUGCAAUGAUAUAUCAUUGCCUCAUGUCCAAUACAUACUCAACUCUAGUAAGUCUACGACCUGGACUGUUGGAAGAAACUUGCUUUAUAAAGCAGCCAAGGAAAGGAAAGAAAAGUACAUAUACUACAUUUUCAUGGACGACGAUGUUCAACUGAUAAUGGCGGAUAAAAAAAAUACACAGAAUCCAUGGAGAAUGUACGAGGAGUCUCUCAAGACCUUCCAACCAGCAGUAGUUACAAUACUUAUUACGUACGAACGAAGGAGUUUCUCCGAUAAAAGUUUUCCUGAGCGAUUGAAUUGUGAACUCACAGGAUAUAUACAAAUAUACGUCACGGAUGCAAUCUUUAACGCCUUUCACUAUCAAGUGAUAGACCACAUUCUUCCAUACACAACAGAUUUUGAUUCAGUGAGCUGGUGGCACUCACAAGCAUAUCUUAUGAUCAAGUGUGAUAUCCUAUUUAAUGAUGAAGUGGUUAUCGACCCUCGUAUUAAAGUAAUAAAUUCAAAGCACCGCAACUACCCACGGAAAGAGUUUUUCGAUGACGUCAAGCAAAUUGUUACUGACAUUCGAUCAGAAACACCAGAAAAGUAUCAAAAAUCAGUUGAGCCAAUUUUGCAGCAAUGGUUAACAAAUGUUGAACAAAAGUUAUUGUUAAGGCAACAAACUUGCAAACGUGAUCUGUUUGUACAUCCAUAUAGACCAUACGAGAAUAAGAACUAUCCGGGACGUCUGAUGCUUGAGAUCUAGAUUUUGCUUUGACUUCUAUUCAACAGCUAUAGUUAUGUCUUUAUGAUCAUACCAAAUUAAUGUCUUGUUUUCAUCCUGCUUGAACCAGUGGAAAAGCGCAUGUUUGUACAUUCAUAUAGUCUAAGACCUUAUGAGAAUCUGGUUUAAAAAGAACUAUCGAAGACAGUGGCAUAGAUAUUUAUGACUAUGUGAACAUUAAUUUCACCAACUGCACAUCUAACAUGCUUUUCUCCGCCUUCACCUACAGUAAUUAUUUAGCCUCCUUCGCAGCCUCUCCUUUUUCUGUUCUUUGUCACAGAAGAGAAAAUUGGAGGAACAAAGAAAGAAAGAAGGAAGCAACUAAGAAAAAGGAGAGCCUGCCUUGCUAAGUCGCGUGAUCCCCUACUGACGUAGACAAAUUUUAACGAGCGUGGGCGAGAGAAAACCUCAAUAACUGUCCUCCCACACAGUACUUGGAGCGCAUUUACCAGGAACAUAAUCUGUUAUGAACAGUACAGUACAGUGCAGUAGAGUCAGCCUUCGUGAGACCUUUAGUCAGUAGAGGAAGUAUGAAAGACUAGAGUAGAGUAGACUAUACUGCUGUAAUAAUUAUAUAUCUACUAAUCAAGUGGGUCUGUUCUGAACUCAGGAAAAAAAACUGAGCUAAAUUUAGAUAUUUAGUCUCUUUAGUCUUUACUAGGUAAGCCCUUGUCUACGAUGUUUCCACGCUUGAUUCUGGCUUACUAUCUACGAUGCUAACAGCUUUUAUUUAGAGUUUGCAAUGCGUAGGCAUGCUGUAGCUUUUUGCUCUGUCAGGCUCCGCCCAGCUAGUGAUUGCCCACGUUCAUUUUCACUCGUCUACCACUCGUCUACCGUCACGCGACUUAGCAAGGCAGGCUCUCCUUUUUCUUAGUAUCUUCCUUCUUUCUUUCUUUGUUCCUCCAAUUCGUCCCGUAUUUUAUCUUAUUGAACUACAGUGACAAAGAACAGAAAAAGGAGGUGCGAAGGAGGCUAGUAAUUAUUGGUGGUGGUCUAUAAUUAUGAUCAGUAUACCGUACGGGUAGAAAAUUUCGAGGGUUUAAAAUUUCGUGCAAUUCAAUAUUUUGUCUUAUUUGGAAAAUUUCGCGGGUAGUAAAUUUCGUGGAAGUUAAAUUAAGAGGGUGUGGCAUUUAUCUCGCGUGAGAUACAUGCAGUAGACAGCAGUCGAGUACAUGUACAUCAUCAUGGAUACAUUCUCCAUAGCAUCGAUGACAAGAGGCUACCAUGUCUAUCAGGGUACAUGGAAUGCGUUAGUAGGGGAAGUUUUGGAGUGCAAGAGAGAAAGCAGCAAUAGCCAUGAUCCCUUCGCGGUGGCAGUCAUGAGAAAUAGCACUGGUGGAACUGCUGUUGUUGUAGGGCAUGUACCGAGACGUUUAUCUGCUCUCUGUUCUCUAUUUCUAAGAAGAAGUGGCUCAACAAUAACUUGUAGAAUUACUGGAAGCAGAAGAUAUUCUACAGAUCUUCCCCAAGGGGGCCUCGAAAUACCCUCUAUGCUCACUUUUUCUGGACAGCGGCAAAAUAUUAAUAAGGUAAAAGCCCUCAUUGCUGAGGUACAGGUAACUAUUGGUAAGAAGGAUGCAACAGGUGAUAUUGAUGUGGAUAUGCCUGCAAAACGGCCAGCCCUAUGCAGUGAUGUUUGGACAAACCUCGAAAAUAUUACUUUGUAUAUGGAAGACAAACAGAAGAUCCUUGGAAAUGAUCUAUUAAAUGACGAUUAUAUUAACACAGCACAGAAUUUGUUAAAGAGACAGUUCCCUUCACUGACCGGCCUUGAAUCGACUUUAACAGUUGGACGCACUGUAUACGAUAAUUGGGUAUGCAACUAUCUUCAAUUUCUCCACUGCCGUGGUAAUCACUGGAUUACUGUCAGCACGUUAGGAUGUGCUAAAGGUGAAAUUAACAUUUUUGAUUCAAUAUUCUCUUCACUCGAUAAAGUUUCUGAAGAUAUUCUGAGCAACAUUUUCAAAAACAAUAGCCUUUGUUUCAAGAACGCUGAUGUUCACAAACAGAAAGGAGUCAAGGACUGUGGUCUUUUUGCCAUAGCUUUUGCUACGCAUCUUGCUAAUGGUACUAGUCCCACCUGUGUUUCAUUCGAUCAAAGUAGUUUACGAACUCAUCUUGUAUCAUGCAUUAGCGAAAAUGUUAUCAAUUUAUUUCCUAUGCUGUAAAAUUGUUAUACCAUUCUAUCGCAGAACAUGAUAAUAAACAUAAAAACAUCCUAAAACUGUUUUAAAGAAUUUACAAUUCCAGAAUUUCUAAAUCCAUUGAUGAUGAUUUCAGGAUGAGAUUCGAAGUAAUUAAACAUAUCAAUUGCCCACUGUGCUGUCAAGGGUUUCAUCACACUUAACCUUAAAUCAACAGGUUCCUCGGUUCCACUCUUAGUUGCUUGCAAACGAUAUCACCAUACCACUCCUGAAAUUUCUUCCUCAGAAAGUCCUUAGCAGGCUUAUUAACGCUUAAAUUAAGUGGUUGAAGCCUGUCAGUACAGUUAGCUGGAAUGACCACAUACAAAAUACAAUUUUCUUCUAACAAUCUACGAACAUUGUCAAUCAAAUGCCCCUUGAAUACAUCAAACAAUACCAGGGCAGGAUGAUCAGACGCAAGGUUCAAUUUAGAACGUGUUUCAGUCACAUAAGGAACUAAUCUUUGUUAUAUAAUCAAUCAUCGUAUCACCAUUAGACCAGUGAUUGGCUGUGCAAGUUAUGUGCCAAUUUUCAGGAAAAGAAAUCUUCGAAAGACACCGGGUUGUGGUGCCUUGGUAUAUCAGCUGUAGUGGUAGAAACCUUCCAGAUAAAGAGCAUCCAAACACAGCGGUGCUUUGCCUUUUAUCAUCGAUAGCAACAAUUUCGACUCUUUUCGUUCCCCGCUUUUCCAUGGUCCAUGAAGAUGACGGAACAAUUUUCAUUGCAGUUUGAUCCCAAUUGAUAAUUAAUGCAUCUGGGAUGUCUUCCAUUUUUACUACACACUUCACAUCAUUGCAAAAGUCGUCUUUCACCGUUUCAAAAUCGCUGACUAGCACUUUUGAUUUUGAAUUUGCACGCCUCUUACUGAAACCCAUUCUUCAAAGAAUACUUUUUGCCCACUCUUUGCCAAGUAUAAUAUCACCACCAAAUUCAUUCAUCGAUGAUCUGUUGUGUUUUAAGAGCAGUCCUCUUCCAAUUCCAAUAAUAACACUUGUGCCAAUGGGUGUACCACGUCUACGUAGACUUACAAUAAUGUCUUGCAGCUUCUUGUCCAGAGUGCUGCCCAGAAGAGGUGGCCUACCACGUUUCUUAGUUGCUAAUGACUUGACAACCAUUUUUUCUGGUCGAGCUUGUUCGAUCAGCUUCUUAAGCUGCUUUUCAUAUAGAUUUUUCCAAUCCCGAACACUACUUUCCUUAAGAUUUUUCUUGUUAAAAAAUCUGACAGCUGCAGCAAUCCCAUUUUCACUGGCAUGUCUUCCAAUCACUAAUUUGUCUUCCUCAGAAUUUCUUGUGUAUGGUCCACGUUUUUUUUUCUCUUGUGCUGCUUUCACUUGCUUGCUUACUUCAACAAGAGUUGAGGCUGGUAGAUCUAUAGACUUAGAUGACAGACCAAAAGGAUUAUCUGCAACAGCAUGAAAGUGAACAGAGACAUGUUUAGCCUCGAUUCCAAGCCGCUGAGAAAGACGGCCUGGUAUACACUGUUUACGCAUGCGCCAGAAUUACCCAGAAUCUGGGUAAUCGUAAAUUGCAGUAUAUUUAUCAGUAUUCUUAUUCCGCAUUAGUUUGUAAAACAUUGAUAUCCGUUUCAUUUAUAAUGAUGUCAUUGAAAAAAGAAAUCUAGUCCAAGUUGUGUAAUGGCUGCAACCUUCUCUUCUGCUCUCGCGUACGCGUUAUCCUGUGUUGGAAAACCAGGUCUAGUCUUGAAAGACAAGCAGCUGGAGGCGUUGAAGUGUCUGUACGCUGGUGUUUAUGUGGGUACCGUACCGACCGGCUAUGGCAAGUCCCAGAGCAAGUCCAUCUGCUUUCCAAACACUCCCUUUCUUGGAUUGAUGUGAAGCUUGACAGGACCAGUGCACCUCUCUCUGAAAGAAGUGUUGUGAUAGUGAUUUCUCCUCUUGUUUCUCUGAGUGAAGCCAUCUUCAAAGUGUUGGUGUGUCUGUUCGACGUUCAGUGCCAUUCUCUCUGGAAGGAAGUAUUGUUGUGACAUUUGCCGAAAAUUGGUCACAGAGUAAGUACGUGGUAUCUGAUCCGAGAACUGUGUGGCCUGAAUGUGUUUACAAUCCGAGGGACUUGUGUGUAUCCGAUCCGAGUGACUUGUUGCUUGAGUGUGUAUCCGGACUUGUUGCUUGAGUGUGUAUUAAUGGAUAGUGCUUUCAAUGGUUUAACUAAUUUCUUAUGAGAUUAACUUGUCGCCUGAGUGUGUAUCCGAUCCGAGCCUCAAGUUAAUGAAUAAAUCUACAGAGCUGAUAUUUUACUUAGCUGUCUCUGUCUAUAGUAUAUACAGAGAGGUAGCCUCUCCUUUUUCUUUUUUCUGUUCUUUAUAUAAGAUAAAAUACUGUUUUAACGUUCAA